UUGCAGUUAAAAGCUCGUAGUUGAAUUUCUAGUCAACCGUUAGCUGGCUUCACAGUCGUUAACGAUUGCCUAUCCGACAUUGAACCUGUAUGGUUAUUAAGUUAACCUACUGGCGAAACUGUCAUUUUACUUUGAAAAAAUUAGAGUGUUUCAGGCAGGCAAUUGCCCGAAUAUCUUAGCAUGGAAUAAUGGAAUAGGACUUCGGUUCAUUUGAUUGGUUAUUGAAUCAGAGUAAUGAUUAAUAGGGACAGUUGGGGGCAUUAGUAUUUAAUUGUCAGAGGUGAAAUUCUUGGAUUUAUUAAAGACUAACUUAUGCGAAAGCAUUUGCCAAGGAUGUUUUCAUUAAUCAAGAACGAAAGUUAGGGGAUCAAAGACGAUCAGAUACCGUCCUAGUCUUAACUAUAAACUAUACCGACUCAGGAUUGGCGAUGCCAUAAGCUUCGUCAGCACUGUAUGAGAAAUUAAAGUCUUUGGGUUCUGGGGGGAGUAUGGUCGCAAGGCUGAAACUUAAAGGAAUUGACGGAAGGGCACCACCA
rnacentral:rRNA from 1 species